rnacentral:rRNA from 1 species
GUGGGGAAUAUUGGACAAUGGGCGAAAGCCUGAUCCAGCCAUGCCGCGUGUGUGAAGAAGGUCUUCGGAUUGUAAAGCACUUUAAGUUGGGAGGAAGGGCAGUAAGUUAAUACCUUGCUGUUUUGACGUUACCGACAGAAUAAGCACCGGCUAACUUCGUGCCAGCAGCCGCGGUAAUACGAAGGGUGCAAGCGUUAAUCGGAAUUACUGGGCGUAAAGCGAGCGUAGGUGGUUUUGUAAGUUGGAGGUGAAAUCCCCGGGCUCAACCUGGGAACUACCUCCAAAACUACUGAGCUAGAGUACGGUAGAGGGUAGUGGAAUUUCCUGUGUAGCGGUGAAAUGCGUAGAUAUAGGAAGGAACACCAGUGGCGAAGGCGACUACCUGGACUGAUACUGACACUGAGGUGCGAAAGCGUGGGGAGCAAACAGGAUUAGAAACCCGUGUAGUCC